rnacentral:rRNA from 1 species
ACGAACGCUGGCGGCGUGGAUAAGACAUGCAAGUCGAACGAGAGAAUUGCUAGCUUGCUAAUAAUUCUCUAGUGGCGCACGGGUGAGUAACACGUGAGUAACCUGCCCCCGAGAGCGGGAUAGCCCUGGGAAACUGGGAUUAAUACCGCAUAGUAUCGAAAGAUUAAAGCAGCAAUGCGCUUGGGGAUGGGCUCGCGGCCUAUUAGUUAGUUGGUGAGGUAACGGCUCACCAAGGCGAUGACGGGUAGCCGGUCUGAGAGGAUGUCCGGCCACACUGGAACUGAGACACGGUCCAGACACCUACGGGUGGCAGCAGUCGAGAAUCAUUCACAAUGGGGGAAACCCUGAUGGUGCGACGCCGCGUGGGGGAAUGAAGGUCUUCGGAUUGUAAACCCCUGUCAUGUGGGAGCAAAUUAAAAAGAUAGUACCACAAGAGGAAGAGACGGCUAACUCUGUGCCAGCAGCCGCGGUAAUACAGAGGUCUCAAGCGUUGUUCGGAAUCACUGGGCGUAAAGCGUGCGUAGGCUGUUUCGUAAGUCGUGUGUGAAAGGCGCGGGCUCAACCCGCGGACGGCACAUGAUACUGCGAGACUAGAGUAAUGGAGGGGGAACCGGAAUUCUCGGUGUAGCAGUGAAAUGCGUAGAUAUCGAGAGGAACACUCGUGGCGAAGGCGGGUUCCUGGACAUUAACUGACGCUGAGGCACGAAGGCCAGGGGAGCGAAAGGGAUUAGAUACCCCUGUAGUCCUGGCAGUAAACGGUGCACGCUUGGUGUGCGGGGAAUCGACCCCCUGCGUGCCGGAGCUAACGCGUUAAGCGUGCCGCCUGGGGAGUACGGUCGCAAGAUUAAAACUCAAAGAAAUUGACGGGGACCCGCACAAGCGGUGGAGUAUGUGGCUUAAUUCGAUGCAACGCGAAGAACCUUACCUGGGCUUGACAUGUAAUGAACAACAUGUGAAAGCAUGCGACUCUUCGGAGGCGUUACACAGGUGCUGCAUGGCCGUCGUCAGCUCGUGUCGUGAGAUGUUUGGUUAAGUCCGGCAACGAGCGCAACCCCUGUUGCCAGUUACCAGCACGUGAAGGUGGGGACUCUGGCGAGACUGCCCAGAUCAACUGGGAGGAAGGUGGGGACGACGUCAGGUCAGUAUGGCCCUUAUGCCCAGGGCUGCACACGUACUACAAUGCCCAGUACAGAGGGGGCCGAAGCCGCGAGGCGGAGGAAAUCCUAAAAACUGGGCCCAGUUCGGACUGUAGGCUGCAACCCGCCUACACGAAGCCGGAAUCGCUAGUAAUGGCGCAUCAGCUACGGCGCCGUGAAUACGUUCCCGGGUCUUGUACACACCGCCCGUCACAUCAUGGAAGCCGGUCGCACCCGAAGUAUCUGAAGCCAACCGCAAGGAGGCAGGGUCCUAAGGUGAGACUGGUAACUGGGAUG